rnacentral:lncRNA from 7 species
CGACCCCUUUUGCCAUGCUUUCACGCCGUUAGCGUCGUCUGAGAUUGAGGCUCGGGUGAGGGUCGUCACAGCUCUUCCAUCAGGCUCCUUCAUGGACGAGGAUUCACCCCAUCCUCUCAAAAAGAACAUUGAAUUGAUCCCCUGGUGCCCUGCCCUCUCCACCUCCCAGAGGCCGUCGUUGCCAAGAACAAUUAGAAGCAGAAACGUGGUGCGAGAGGAGAGACCUUGGCAGAGCGCGUGAAGCGCCUCAAAGUGAAGAAGGGGGGAAUGGCCUCCCAUCCAACUUGUGCGAAAUCGGGGAUCCACUCUCCCCCUUCUUCCACAGGUUCUGGGGGACAAGCAUUCCGGCGACAGUGGGUGGCCCGUCCCGUCAUGGUGAUGCCCAGGCCAGCUCUAGUGCCGACGGCCCGAGGGAGGUACUGGCCAUGGCCCCGCUACGUCUGAGGUGUUAAUAACACGCCGCAUGGAGGUUGCCGUCUUCGAGCGCUUCGAGGGAGGAGCCGACCAGGCUGCUGCGCCAAGGGUGACCUACCGAAAGCGCUCCUCUCGGUGGGUCGUCGGUCUUGUGUUUUUGCUGUGGGCUUUCGUCCUUUGCCUUUGCUUCUUUCAGACUUUUAGAUUAGCACUCAUGUCCUACAUAAGUCAAUGAAGGACACAACGAUAAUGACGAAGGCGGGUUUCGCGUACGCUUCAACCCAUGCGCCGUGGCUCUAGGGGUGCAGCUUGGCGCUGCUCCCCCUG